UGGUGUUAGCCUCAGCAGCAUACUAAAAUUGGAAUGAUAAGGAGAAGAUUAGCAUGGCCCCUGGGCAAGGAUGACACUCAAGUUCUCUAGAAGCAUCCCAUAAGG
ensembl:snRNA U6 U6 spliceosomal RNA